CGGGAAGUAGCUCAGCUUGGCAGAGCACUUGGUUUGGGACCAAGGGGUCGCAGGUUCGAAUCCUGUCUUCCCGACCA
rnacentral:tRNA from 2 species